GACGAACGCUGGCGGCGUGCUUAACACAUGCAAGUCGAACGGAAAGGCCCUGCUUUUGUGGGGUGCUCGAGUGGCGAACGGGUGAGUAACACGUGAGUAACCUGCCCUUGACUUUGUGAUAACUUCAGGAAACUGGGGCUAUUACCGCAUAUGAUCUCCUGCUGCGUGUUGGGGGUUAGAGAGUUACGGCGGUUCGGGCUGGACUGGCGGCUUAUCAGCUUGUUGGUGUAGUAGUGGCUUACCAAGGCUUUGACGGGUAGCCGGCCUGAGAGGGUGACCGGCGACAUGGGGACUGAGAUAGGGACCAGAAGCCUACGGGAGGCAGUAGGGGGGAAUAUUGCAGAAUGGGGGGAAGCCUGAUGCAGCAACGCCGCGUGCGGGAUGACGGCCUUCGGGGUGUAAACAGAUUUCGCAUGUGACGAAGCGUGAGUGACGGUAAUGGGUAAAGAAGCACCGGCUAACUACGUG
rnacentral:rRNA from 1 species